CACUUCUGAGGAGCGAGAGUGCAGUC
rnacentral:piRNA from 1 species